UCUUUACUUACUGCUAUGGCUUGCAUUGGAUUCACUUCCUGAAAAGAGUGAAAAUGUAUGAUAUUAAACUUCGAAUCAGGCAAUGAAUGUAGAUGUAAAAUAACAGAAAUGUUUGUGGAUAUUUACAGAACAGCCAGUGAGACAAUACAGUCCACCCUGAGCAGCGAGAGCCGCCUAGAGAGAGAAAUUACCAGAAAAGGCACCAAGUUUGAGAAUCAUUUCAACUGUAAACAAUACAGUGAAGAUGACGUUCAGCAUGUCUGAAAGAUGGGUUAUGUGAUCGGACUGAUUACAGUGCUGAAGGAUAAAGAAAUGAGACUCGGCACAUGGUGUUGAGCAUGAUGAGGAGAAACAUCAGGUACUCGAAGUAACAGGAAGUGACGAUGUACCACACCUGAUACUGACGCGGGUUCUUAGGGAUA